rnacentral:snoRNA from 1 species
GAUCAAUGAUGAAAAAUAGCCAAAUCUGAGUUCUUGGGCUCAGUUGUCCUCUGA